UACGGAGGAUGCGAGCGAUAUCCGGAUUUAUUGGGUUUAAAGGGUGCGUAGGCGGGCUUUUAAGUCAGCGGUAAAAAUUCGGGGCUCAACCCCGUCCGGCCGUUGAAACUGGGGGCCUUGAGUGGGCGAGAAGAAGGCGGAAUGCGUGGUGUAGCGGUGAAAUGCAUAGAUAUCACGCAGAACCCCGAUUGCGAAGGCAGCCUUCCGGCGCCCUACUGACGCUGAGGCACGAAAGUGCGGGGAUCGAACAGG
rnacentral:rRNA from 1 species